rnacentral:lncRNA from 1 species
GAAAGCUGUAAUGGUUUCAGGACUCACAUUUGGAAAUGUGGUUGUUUGCUUCAAGUUAGGGGUACAAUCAGGGCUCGAUGGCAACCAAAGGUCAGUGGGAGGCCUCGCACUGGCCACUCACGGGAAGACUAUACAAAUGAAGCUGUGCAGAGUAAUAUGGGCUGGACAAAUUUUGAAGUGAGGGAAGCUCAGAGUAAAAUUGAGCAUAAAGAACGACUGCGAAAUAUGGAAGAAAGUAAAUGGGCUGGGAGUGUGUUUAGAUAUUUGUACAGGAAAAACAUUCAUUCACAGUGGAGGAAAAGAACUACGAAGCUUACCAGCAAGUAUGCGACCGCUACGCUGAGCAACAUGGCAAGAAAGAACGUCAGGCGGAACGUCAGAGAGGCAGAGAUAAUCUCAUGGGUGGCGGCAAUGGAAAAGAAACCUGCUAUGAGUUACUACUUAAGAGGAAAAAACAAAAUCGGGGAAGAAACAAUCUAUGAAAACUCAAAAGGAAGCUCUUUACUUUUCGAAGAGAGAUCUGGAUGCCUUAGAACACGCACUUAUAUAGUGCUAUAUAAGAAGCAAGAA